GUUGGUUGAAAAUCACCCCGGCCUUGGCAAUGGCCGCGGGUGAGAUUCUGCGCCUAGAGCCACCAGGGGCCACAGCUCACCUCCCACUGCUUUGGUGUGGGGAAGUGAGACCUGGACCCGACAGGU